AUACGGGAGGCAGCAGUGGGGAAUAUUGCACAAUGGGGGAAACCCUGAUGCAGCAACGCCGCGUGAGUGAUGAAGGUCUUCGGAUUGUAAAGCUCUGUCUUUUGGGACGAUAAUGACGGUACCAAAGGAGGAAGCCACGGCUAACUACGUGCCAGCAGCCGCGGUAAUACGUAGGUGGCGAGCGUUGUCCGGAAUUACUGGGCGUAAAGGAUGCGUAGGCGGAUAUUUAAGUCAGAUGUGAAAUCCCCGGGCUUAACUUGGGGGCUGCAUUUGAAACUGGAUAUCUAGAGUGCGGGAGAGGAAAGUGGAAUUCCUAGUGUAGCGGUGAAAUGCGUAGAGAUUAGGAAGAACACCAGUGGCGAAGGCGACUUUCUGGACCGUAACUGACGCUGAGGCAUGAAAGCGUGGGUAGCAAACAGGAUUAGAAACCCUUGUAGUCCU
rnacentral:rRNA from 1 species